UGCGACGACAUUUUCCGUUGUUAGCAGGUCUUUACGUCGCUCUUACAAUUUUACCGAUUUUUUCAUAGAAAAAGUGAUUUUUCUGUGCACUAUUUGAAUUUAUUCUGUUCCUUAUGGCCUGCUUAAUCUUCUGAAAAUGAGUGUUAUUAGUACGCAUGCACCCAUCCUACAAAGACCACCUAAAUGAAGAGACUCGGGUCACCCCGUUGAUAAUGUCUGACUAUCAUUCCAUUUUACGAGAUUGGUUUUACAUUAUACAGUUAAAGCUUUUGUACAAUAAAUCGAUGUAUGUAUACAGUUCCAGAGCCGUACAUUUAUGCUUUUGAUGACUAAUACCAACAAUACAUUAUGGCACUUGUACUUCAAUUCAACCAUCCUAUUCAAGAUGCCCUUAUGUUGAUUAAAUUCAACAUUCAACAGUGGAAUGAGUAUUCAACAGUGGAAAUUCACUAUCGAAAAGGAACUAAAUAAUUUUAGAUUUUCCACAACAAAUCGAUGGAUACAUACAGUUCCAGGGCAGUAUACAUUUAUCCUUUUGAUGAUGUUCCUUCUGUUUAUCAGUGGAUAUCAUCAUUUUUACAUUUAAUUAAGUAAGAAAAAAAAUCCAAUGAGUCUCUGAGUUAUAUUUUAAUGGUUUCUUAUUAUCAUUGGCAAUUUCAUUUUGACUUUGAGAGGCUUUGUUUUUUGGUCACUUCUCUUUCUUUUUGGUAGAAUACCAUCUACUUAGAAUUUUACUUUUUGUUGUACAUGGUUUACUUUUAUUUCUCUAUAAUAGCUUGACUGCCAUGUGUUCUCCAUUGUAGGAAUAAUAACAUCAUUUAUCAAUUCUAUACAAUAUACCAUUGCCUGUAUUUCUAUAGGACUAAUUUGUCUGGUAAUAUAUACCAUCUAUUUAGAAUUUUACUUCAUGUUGCUUAUGGGUUACAUUCAUUUCUCUAUCAUAGCUUGACUUUCAUAUGCUCUUCAUUGUAGACAUAGUAACAUUUGCCAAUUCUAUAAAAUAUUCAAUUGACUGUAUUAUAUAAGUCUUCUUUUAUUUGUAUUAUUUAUUCUAAUGCUAUUUUGCUUGUAUAGUUCCUUGUACAGAGUUAUAGUUUUGAAUUGCUAUAAUUUUAUGGAGUCUGUUUCUGUUAGUUCAAUUUACCCUUGUUUGAAUAUAGUUUGUUUAAACUAUAUUCAAACAAGGGUAAAUUGAACUAACAGAAACAGAUUAUUAUCUGCUAUCGCUUGUUUAAGCGAUAACACACUUAAAAAUAAGGACUAAUUUCUCAUCAAUUCCUAGCGCAUUCGCCAUUUAUUGGUAAGACCUAACGUCCCACAGGAUGUCAUUCUGGCCUUUCUAGCAUUUUUUCCAAUGAAUUUUCCUGAGUAACUUCGACUCCAGAGCAUCAUAACUAGCCUCCCCUAAGAGGAGGAGACUUGGGUCACCCCCUAACCCUGAUGUUCGGCCAUCGAUGACCUAUGUAGCAUGCAUAGGUACCCAAGGGAGUCACCACCCUCUGGUUUACGAGCUAGGUGUUCUAACGCUAGAGGCUUCGGCCGGAUACGACCUGGCACCCAAGCUACGAGACUUCUUCGUGUACGUAUUCCGUGACGUCUGCAAAGCGCAGGGGGCGGGAUAUCGGACACAUUGAAGAUGAUGAGGGGGGUCCGCCUGUAGGGGGUCCCGGUGGAUGUCCGCUCGAUGGGUGACGAGGGUAACCUGAGACGAGGCUGCUUAGCUGGGAUGGGAACUGACUGGCGAGGCUUAAUCGUCGCCCAAGGGUUAAAUCUGAUGAAGGGUGGCGAACUUAUAUGCUCUGGAGGAUUUUUCUUUAUGUGCUUUCUGGAGGAUUUUUCUUUAUGUGCUUGAUGUCAAAUUUUGACCAGUUAUUUCUGACAGGAGGCUCAGCAUAACUUCUUGGCCAAUUUUCCAGUUCUUAUUGACCUGAUUUGUAUUUCUCUAUGUUUUUUAUAUAUAUAUUUUUAUACAUGUUUUUUGUCAUUCUUCUGAGGAUCUUCUAAUAUACAUUCAUGGAUACUAUUACCUGUAUACUAUUACCAUAAUUCCCAUUAUGGGAAUGCUCAGCUGUCAUUGAUCAAUUCUAUAAACUCUUGCCAUUGGUUGAUUCUCUAAAUUUUCUGAUUAUUUCUCUAAAUUUUUUUUAUAUAUAUUUGUAUAAAUGUUUUGUAUCAUUGCUGUGAGACUCUUCUAAGACAUAUUUCAUCAUUUCUAUGAACUAUGGAUUUAUAUUUUUUUAUUUAUUUUCCUGCCAAUUUUUUCAAUAAAAAAAUCUCUGUUUCACUGUUUAUCUCCCAUAUUUUCUUCCAUAUGGUACUGUCAUUCAUCUUCUGUGACUUUUUAUCACACUAAUUUUCGUGCAACUUUUUCCAAUGACUACCUACAUCUAUUUCUUUUAUAUCUCUCAUGUUAUCUUCAUUCUGCAAAAUUUUCUACUAUAUUAUAUAUUUCUGAAUUAUCAGUCAUCAUUUACUUGUAUCAAUAUUUAUAUUGUGUCAUUUUGUGUCGAGCCAUCUCUAAAGCAUUUUAUUUUUAUAAAGUUACUUUUUUCAAUCAUUAUUCCAUACAGAGUAAAACUUAAUUUAAAUUUUCUUAAAUAUAAUUUAUUAUACGUAUUUCUUAUAUAUUGAUUGUAAUCUAAAUCUUCUAAAUGUAUUUUUUCUAUUCCUUAAGACUUCUAAGUUUUUGAUCCCGUUUUUUUUUUGGUGCCCACAUAGAAUUGUUUAGUUUUGGACUCUUAUUCUAAUAGUUGAUUGCUUCUUUUCAUUCUGUUUCUAAUUCCUUCUAAAACUGAGUUUUUGAACUCAGUUUUAGAAGGGAUAUUGUACCGCUUUGGAACAAAGAUUUUUUGAGACAGCUGCACUUCAAUUCAACCACCCUCUUCAAGAUGCCGUUACGUUGAUUAAUGCAACAUUCAACAGAGGAAUGAGGAUGAAAUUUAUCACGAAUAACUUUAGAAUCAAGUAGGUUAACCAGAAGAUUUGUUUACCUUAACUUAGCAUGUCCAUCAACAAUUGGAUUUUUAUAUACUUUUUAUAUUACU